rnacentral:rRNA from 1 species
ACUCCKACGGGAGGCASCAGUGGGGAAUUUUGGACAAUGGGGGCAACCCUGAUCCAGCAAUGCCGCGUGCAGGAAGAAGGCCUUCGGGUUGUAAACUGCUUUUGUCAGGGAAGAAAUCCUGUGGGUUAAUACCUCGUGGGGAUGACGGUACCUGAAGAAUAAGCACCGGCUAACUACGUGCCAGCAGCCSCGGUAAUACKUAGGGUGCGAGCGUUAAUCGGAAUUACUGGGCGUAAAGCGUGCGCAGGCGGUUUUGUAAGACAGAGGUGAAAUCCCCGGGCUCAACCUGGGAACUGCCUUUGUGACUGCAAGGCUGGAGUACGGCAGAGGGGGAUGGAAUUCCKCGUGUAGCAGUGAAAUGCGUASAUAUGCGGAGGAACACCGAUGGCGAAGGCAAUCCCCUGGGCCUGUACUGACGCUCAUGCACGAAAGCGUGGGGAGCAAACAGGAUUAGAUACCCUGGUAGUCCACGCCCUAMACGAUGUCAACUGGUUGUUGGACGGCUUGCUGUUCAGUAACGAAGCUMACGCGUGAAGUUGACCGCCUGGSGAGUACGGCCGCRAGGUUGAAACUCAWAGGAAUUGAYGG